CCUACGUGAGGCAGCAGUGAGGAAUAUUGGUCAAUGGACGAGAGUCUGAACCAGCAAAGUAGCGUGAAGGAUGACUGCCCUAUGGGUUGUAAACUUCUUUUAUAUGGGAAUAAAAUGUUCCACGUGUGGGAUUUUGUAUGUACCAUAUGAAUAAGGAUCGGCUAACUCCGUUCCAGCAGCCGCGGUAAUACGGAGGAUCCGAGCGUUCUCCGGAUUUAUUGGGUUUAAAGGGAGCGUAGGUGGAUUGUUAAGUCAGUUGUGAAAGUUUGCGGCUCAACCGUAAAAGUGCAGUUGAAACUGGCAGUCUUGAGUACAGUAGAGGUGAGCGGAAUGCGUGGUGUAGCGGUGAAAUGCUUAGAUAUCACGAAGAACUCCGAUUGCGAAGGCAGCUCACUGGACUGCAACUGACACUGAGGCUCGAAAGUGUGGGUAUCAAACAGGAUUAGAUACCCUUGUAGUC
rnacentral:rRNA from 1 species